rnacentral:lncRNA from 1 species
CCCGUAGUGCAUCUCCUGGGUAUGUGUCUGGCAUUCGAUAGUAAUCCUUUUUAUUGUAAAUGUCUCCGCUGGAAGUCAUGGGUCCUUUUGUAGUGUGAAUACGAUCUAACAAUGUGAAUAUGUGUAUGCAAUGUAAAUUGCUAAAUACAUGACUGGUAUAGUGCAUGUAUAUUAUUAUCGAUAAUGCCAUUGUGUUUUGGCUAUGUUCACACCCGGGAAAAGGUGUGUGUGUGUGUG